rnacentral:rRNA from 1 species
UACGGGGGGAGCAAGCGUUGUUCGGAUUUACUGGGCGCAAAGGGCGCGUAGGCGGCGCAACAAGUCACUUGUGAAAUCUCCGGGCUUAACCCGGAGCGGCCAAGUGAUACUGUCGUGCUAGAGUGCGGAAGGGGCUACUGGAAUUCUCGGUGUAGCAGUGAAAUGCGUAGAUAUCGAGAGGAACACCAGUGGCGAAGGCGAGUCCCUGGACAGAUCCUGACGCUGAGGCACGAAAGCUAGGGGAGCAAACAGG